rnacentral:lncRNA from 1 species
AAAAAAUAUAUAUGUUAAAAAACAAGCAAACAUAUGUUUUAAAACAUCUAAAUAAUAAUGAAAUCACGUAAAAUAAAGUCAGAUUACUGGUACCAAUACUUUCACUGAUUAAACUUUCAUUUACACCAUAAAAUUAGUCAUACAUUCAAGAACCAAUAUCACCUUUCUUGUUAUCAUUUCCAUUCCUUCUUCUUUUUGACCUUUGAAUAGAAGAACUUGAUAUGUCUACACCGAAUUCAGAUCCUCUCAUAUUGAUCCUUUCCUGCUGUCUCGUUAUGCAUUAAUUGCAGCCAUUAGAUCUCUCAUGUUGUUUCUUUCUUCUGACUAGUUUUUUUUCUUUACAAUCUCAGGCGUUGAAUUAAAAACACGAAAGAUAGGAGAACACACUGGCGUAGCAGAUGAUCCAACUCGGUCUAUACCUUGCCCAGCUAACUCCUCAACAUCACACCAAUCAUGGUCUUCAUUAGUUGCUUUAGUUUCUUUUUAUGGGUCUCCAGAUGGUCCAUUUACCAUGACCAGAGGCUAUAGUAUUCUUAAAAAGAUCUCCAAUUCAAGUAAAUUUCUAAUACAUUGUCUUUGAACUUUGCAACUUCAGGGAUAUUCCUGAAAUAAAAUCUAUUUGAUUUACUAAAUAUUUUAACCAUCAAACUGAAAAAUAAAUGAAAAUAUAAUUUUACCCUCAUUAUCGUUGGAAGCCAUCUCAAGGGCUAUUAUAGCACAAUACAAAAAAAAAAAAAAAGUUUCUCACACAAACAAGAAUCAUAAUUUUUUUUCUUCCGUAAAUCUGAUAUCCUCUGUGCGCAACUGUAGAGACCAAUCCCUCAAGCCUUUGUGGAACUCAAAUGAGCGGCAAACUCUCCCUAAGUGUUUUAACGUUGCUGCAUGCCCAAACUAGAGACAAGAAUCAUAAAUUUAAAAACAUAUCACAUGAAAAUAAAGUGAAUUCUUAUUUGUACUAACAACUCUUUUGGUGUAACUUGAACCAAUUGUGGCUUUGAUAUAAUAUAUAAAUAAAUGGUUAGAAUUUAUU